rfam:Glycine soja cultivar W05 scaffold5_61, whole genome shotgun sequence.
ACAAGGAAUGGUGUAGUAAGGGACAGAAUGCUUCAGGGAGUUGAAAAUAAGCGUAGAUCCGAGGAUUCCCGAUAUAGGUCAACCUUUCAAACUACUGCUAAAUUCAUGGGCAGGAAUAGACAACCUGGUGAAUUGAAACAUCUUAGUAGCCAGAGGAAAAAAAGCAAAAGUGAUUUCUGUAGUAGCGGUGAGCAAAAUGGGAGUAGCCUAAACCAUGAAAACAGGGUUGAA